AGGCCCAAAGAGAGAGGCAGGGUCUGAUCCGCAGCCUCCUUGGCAGCUGCUGAUCAGCCAUUGCUUCUCUCUCUCGGGACU
rfam:Myotis brandtii contig304226, whole genome shotgun sequence.